AUGCACGCUGGCGGCGUGCCUAAUACAUGCAAGUCGAGCGCACGGACGAGAAGCUUGCUUCUCUGAUGUUAGCGGCGGACGGGUGAGUAACACGUGGAUAACCUACCUAUAAGACUGGGAUAACUUCGGGAAACCGGAGCUAAUACCGGAUGAUAUUUUGAACCGCAUGGUUCAAAAGUGAAAGACGGUCUUGCUGUCACUUAUAGAUGGAUCCGCGCUGCAUUAGCUAGUUGGUAAGGUAACGGCUUACCAAGGCAACGAUGCAUAGCCGACCUGAGAGGGUGAUCAGCCACACUGGAACUGAGACACGGUCCAGACUCCUACGGGAGGCAGCAGUAGGGAAUCUUCCGCAAUGGGCGAAAGCCUGACGGAGCAACGCCGCGUGAGUGAUGAAGGUCUUCGGAUCGUAAAACUCUGUUAUUAGGGAAGAACAUAUGUGUAAGUAACUGUGCACAUCUUGACGGUACCUAAUCAGAAAGCCACGGCUAACUACGUG
rnacentral:rRNA from 1 species